AUAUUGGAAAAUUUUGUAUAAAACCAAACAAAUCAAUUUGCAAAGGCAAGUCUGGUACACCUUCUUAUCAGAAUAACAACAUUCUGCACUCCUGCAAGCACCAUCUUUGAUGCAUUUAAAUGUCCCUGACUAUUUUUCAUGUCUAGCUAUAUCCCUAAUUGUCAUAUGGCAUCUAUUUUUCCUUUGCUCUGCUUUAUUUCAAGUGUUCAGAAGUGGCAGC
rnacentral:lncRNA from 1 species